GACGAACGCUGGCGGCGUGCUUAACACAUGCAAGUCGAACGGUAAGGCCCUUCGGGGUACACGAGUGGCGAACGGGUGAGUAACACGUGGGUGAUCUGCCCUGCACUUCGGGAUAAGCCUGGGAAACUGGGUCUAAUACCGGAUAGGACCCUGGGAUGCAUGUCCUGGGGUGGAAAGCUUUUGCGGUGUGGGAUGGGCCCGCGGCCUAUCAGCUUGUUGGUGGGGUGAUGGCCUACCAAGGCGACAACGGGUAGCCGGCCUGAGAGGGUGACCGGCCACACUGGGACUGAGAUACGGCUCAGACUCCUACGGGAGGCAGCGGUGGGGAAGAUUGCACAAUGGGCGCAAGCCUGAUGCAGCGACGCCGCGUGAGGGAUGACGGCCUUCGGGUUGUAAACCUCUUUCAGCAGGGAAGAAGCGAGAGUGACGGUACCUGCAGAAGAAGCGCCGGCUAACUACGUGCCAGCAGCCGCCGUAAUAC
rnacentral:rRNA from 1 species